rnacentral:SRP_RNA from 1 species
GCCGAGUGUGGUGGCGUGUGCCUGUAGUCCCAGCUACUGAGGAGGCUGAGACAGGAGAAUUGCUUGAACCCAGGAGGUGGAGACUGCAGUGAGCUGAGAUCGUGCCACUGCACUCCAGCCUGGGUGACAAAGCAAGACUCCGUCUCUA